rnacentral:rRNA from 1 species
GAUGAACGCUGGCGGCGUGCCUAAUACAUGCAAGUCGAGCGAACGGACAAGAAGCUUGCUUCUCUGAUGUUAGCGGCGGACGGGUGAGUAACACGUGGAUAACCUACCUAUAAGACUGGGAUAACUUCGGGAAACCGGAGCUAAUACCGGAUAAUAUUUUGAACCGCAUGGUUCAAAAGUGAAAGACGGUCUUGCUGUCACUUAUAGAUGGAUCCGCGCUGCAUUAGCUAGUUGGUAAGGUAACGGCUUACCAAGGCAACGAUGCAUAGCCGAUCUGAGAGGGUGAUCGGCCACACUGGAACUGAGACACGGUCCAGACUCCUACGGGAGGCAGCAGUAGGGAAUCUUCCGCAAUGGGCGAAAGCCUGACGGAGCAACGCCGCGUGAGUGAUGAAGGUCUUCGGAUCGUAAAACUCUGUUAUUAGGGAAGAACAUAUGUGUAAGUAACUGUGCACAUCUUGACGGUACCUAAUCAGAAAGCCACGGCUAACUACGUG